CCUACGGGUGGCUGCAGUGGGGAAUAUUGCACAAUGGGCGCAAGCCUGAUGCAGCCAUGCCGCGUGUGUGAAGAAGGCCUUCGGGUUGUAAAGCACUUUCAGCGGGGAGGAAGGCGUUAAGGUUAAUAACCUUGGCGAUUGACGUUACCCGCAGAAGAAGCACCGGCUAACUCCGUGCCAGCAGCCGCGGUAAUACGGAGGGUGCAAGCGUUAAUCGGAAUUACUGGGCGUAAAGCGCACGCAGGCGGUCUGUCAAGUCGGAUGUGAAAUCCCCGGGCUCAACCUGGGAACUGCAUUCGAAACUGGCAGGCUAGAGUCUUGUAGAGGGGGGUAGAAUUCCAGGUGUAGCGGUGAAAUGCGUAGAGAUCUGGAGGAAUACCGGUGGCGAAGGCGGCCCCCUGGACAAAGACUGACGCUCAGGUGCGAAAGCGUGGGGAGCAAACUGGAUUAGAUACCCGUGUAGUC
rnacentral:rRNA from 1 species